rnacentral:rRNA from 1 species
UGGGGAAUUUUGGACAAUGGGCGAAAGCCUGAUCCAGCAAUGCCGCGUGUGUGAAGAAGGCCUUCGGGUUGUAAAGCACUUUUGUCCGGAAAGAAAUCCUUGGCUCUAAUACAGUCGGGGGAUACGGUACCGGAAGAAUAAGCACCGGCUAACUACGUGCCAGCAGCCGCGGUAAUACGUAGGGUGCAAGCGUUAAUCGGAAUUACUGGGCGUAAAGCGUGCGCAGGCGGUUUGCUAAGACCGAUGUGAAAUCCCCGGGCUAACCUGGGAACUGCAUUGGUGACUGGCAGGCUAGAGUAUGGCANAGGGGGGUAGAAUUCCACGUGUAGCAGUGAAAUGCGUAGAGAUGUGGAGGAAUACCGAUGGCGAAGGCAGCCCCCUGGGCCAAUACUGACGCUCAUGCACGAAAGCGUGGGGAGCAAAA